rnacentral:rRNA from 1 species
UACGUAGGGUGCAAGCGUUGUCCGGAAUUAUUGGGCGUAAAGAGCUCGUAGGCGGUCUGUCGCGUCGAAUGUGAAAACCCGGGGCUCAACCCCGGGCCUGCAUUCGAUACGGGCAGACUAGAGUUCGGUAGGGGAGUCUGGAAUUCCUGGUGUAGCGGUGAAAUGCGCAGAUAUCAGGAGGAACACCGAUGGCGAAGGCAGGUCUCUGGGCCACUACUGACGCUGAGGAGCGAAAGCGUGGGGAGCGAACAGG